rnacentral:misc_RNA from 1 species
CUCGAGCAGCGAUACUGCCGAGUCGAGUGCCUCAUCAGCUGCGCAUACGAGCAAUCGAGACCGUUCUCUGCAGGUCGGGCAUGCCGGCGGUUCCUCCGGGUGCGCAUCGGGAGAGUCGAUGACGUUCAUGAGGCACUCUUCGCACAAGAUGUGCUGAUUCUCGCAGGCAAUGACGGGCUGCCAGGCGACAUCUUGACAGACUAUGAACGAGCAAGCACAGCGCCUGCGGGACAGGGUCGAGGAAGUUGUCGAGGUCGGCCGGCAUGUCCGGGACC